rnacentral:rRNA from 1 species
GACGAACGCUGGCGGCGUGCUUAACACAUGCAAGUCGAACGGAGUGGCGAACGGGUGAGUAACACGUGGGUGAUCUGCCUUGCACUUCGGGAUAAGCUUGGGAAACUGGGUCUAAUACCUGAUAGUGCAAUAUGAGCUCGCGGCCUAUCAGCUUGUUGGGGGGGUAAUGGCCUACCAAGGCGUCGACGGGUAGCCGGCCUGAGAGGGUGUACGGCCAAAUUGGGAAUGGGAUACGGCCCAGACGCCGACGGGGGGAAGGAGGGGGGAAUAUGGCACAAUGGGCGGAAGCCUGAGGCAGCGACGCCGGGUGGGGGAUGAGGGCCUUCGGGUUGAAAACUCCUUUCGACAGGGACGGGGAACCUGUAUAAGAGGCACCGGCUAACUAGGUGCCAGCAGCGGCGGAAUAC